AAGCCAGACUCCUACGGGAGGCAGCAGUGGGGAAUAUUGCACAAUGGGGGGAACCCUGAUGCAGCGACGCCGCGUGGGUGAAGGAGUACUUCGGUACGUAAAGCCCUAUCAGCAGGAAAGAAAAUGACGGUACCUGACUAAGAAGCCCCGGCUAACUACGUGCCAGCAGCCGCGGUAAUACGUAGGGGGCAAGCGUUAUCCGGAUUUACUGGGUGUAAAGGGAGCGUAGACGGCAGUGCAAGUCCGGAGUGAAAGCCCGGGGCUCAACCCUGGGACUGCUCUGGAAACUGUAAAGCUGGAGUGCGGGAGGGGCAGGCGGAAUUCCUGGUGUAGCGGUGAAAUGCGUAGAUAUCAGGAGGAACACCGGCGGCGAAGGCGGCCUGCUGGACCGUAACUGACGUUGAGGCUCGAAAGCGUGGGGAGCAAACAGGAUUAGAUACCCCCGUAGA
rnacentral:rRNA from 1 species